CACAAGCCCAUUCACCGGCUGCCUCUGGGCAGGCGCUGUCUCCCCUUCCUUCCCACUCUCCUUCCUUCCGCCCUCCUAAGGUGCUAGGCGGCAGCAGCUGCUCCUCUGACGGCGGGGGAGGGACCCCGGGGGCAGCUCAGAGCGCGGCUGGUGCUCUGGCGGCGGAGGGAGAAAGAAGGAAGGGCGGCAGAAGCCGCUGUAAUGGCGAGGUCGGCUGUCUCCCAGUGCUGGGCUAAGCAGGACCAUGAGGACCACGUGGUUUAACUUCCAACGUGCGGAUUUGGAAGCUGAAGCCCGGAGGGAGCGUGGAGCGUGUCCAAGGUCACACAGCCGAUGGAAGCCUAAGUCGGAGCUGGGUUCAGGCGCGCCUAAAUGCCCUUGGAGUCCCUGUCCGGACCUCUGCGGUUACAAAGUUUCGCGGAGGCGCGACCUUAGACUAGGCAGCAGCUACCUUAAACCAUUGGUACUCAAACUUAGACCGAAAAGAUGUGGACAGAAGGAUAUAAAGAACACGUGCGCUGGUUAGGCGUGGCGACACACCUACAAUCUCAGUAUCCCGAAGGCCGAGGCUGCCUGGGCUACAAUCUGAGAUCUUGUAUCAAAAAAAUAAAUAAAAUCUGGUGCACGUA